CCUACGGGAGGCAGCAGUGGGGAAUAUUGCACAAUGGGGGAAACCCUGAUGCAGCGACGCCGCGUGAGUGAAGAAGUAUUUCGGUAUGUAAAGCUCUAUCAGCAGGGAAGAAGAAAGACGGUACCUGACUAAGAAGCCCCGGCUAACUACGUGCCAGCAGCCGCGGUAAUACGUAGGGGGCAAGCGUUAUCCGGAUUUACUGGGUGUAAAGGUAGCGUAGACGGCUGUGCAAGUCUGAAGUGAAAGCCCAGGGUUCAACCCUGGGACUGCUUUGGAAACUGUGGAGGUAGAGUGCUGGAGAGGUAAGUGGAAUUCCUAGUGUAGCGGUGAAAUGCGUAGAUAUUAGGAGGAACACCAGUGGCGAAGGCGGCUUACUGGACAGUAACUGACGUUGAGGCUCGAAAGCGUGGGGAGCAAACAGGAUUAGAUACCCGAGUAGUC
rnacentral:rRNA from 1 species